CUACUGACAAGGUUAUAGGCGGCCGACACACGGAAGACAACAGCAACAGCGACAGCGACAGCGACAGCGACAGGGAUUUACUCCUUUCAACUUACCGAAAAACAAAAAAUAAGGACAGGCAGUCUUUUUGAUACGAAAUGCGAUUAACGUGAACAAGCGACGCGAUUAGGCAACAGAACAACAGAAGAAACAACACGGAACACGAGGGGACCCUAACAAACCGGACCGCGACGCGAACAAGAAG